rnacentral:hammerhead_ribozyme from 1 species
GCACUGCUGAGGAGUGCAACAGUUGGACGAAACGAUCGUCCAGUGC